UUACAGUUCCACUUUUUUAACAACAAAGAGCCAUUGAUAACACAUGUUGCCAAAGGUUACAGAAGUUGAAUGUUAAAAUGGAAAUAUUUCUCUUUUAUAGAGUUGCUCUGUGGAUGUGUCCUGCAAAUUCAAAGAAACAGAGAAGUGACGAGAGAAGAUGAAGCACACCAGUUCACAACUGAGAAAAUGAAGGAGGAUGAGAACCAGGAAAAGAGGGAAAACAACUUUGUCAUGCAAAUACCAGGUAAAUGCAAAGUGCAACUUUUUCCCUAGAUGUAUACACUUUGCCUGUUACAAUAAGAAAGGGAAUGUGCAAACUAGUAUUUUAGCAAGAUGCUUUUUCCCUCCUUGAUCCCUGUGUAGCACUCUAAAGCUGUGAAAUGCUCUUUUACAAAUUGCCUGUCUCCUUGCCUGCCUACUUCUUCCCUCCUUUCCCCCUCACUCUGUUAACUAUAAGCAGUACAUAAAACUUGAGAAGAUGAAAAGAACCUUGUUGAAUCAGAGGGGAAAACCUAUUUAGAGGAGGCAGUAGCAGAAUAGUUGUCACAGCUAGUGUCUGUAGCAUACUCCCACAACUGUCCCAGUAUGAAAAUUAAUCCUCUACUUUCCUACCUCCUCUGCUGCCUUUAAAAUGUCCCAGUUUCUUUCUCCUCCUAACACUUUCUCCUUUGUCCUCAACUUACCAGUACUUCAAUUGCACCAAAUUGAGUAGUUUGGAUUCACUAAAUUUAGUAGGAGGGAGGAGGAGGAGGAGGGUAUGGCAGAACCUUCCACACAGCUGUAUAAAAUCCACAUUAUCUGCUUUGAACGGAAUUAUAUGGCUGUGUGGACUCAGAUGAUCCAGUUCAAAGCAGAUAAUGUAGAUUAUCUGCCUUGAUAUUCUGGAUUAUAUGGCUGUGUGGAAGGGCUCUAGGACUCUGUAGGCCAGGGUUCAAAUGCCUAUUCAACCAUGGAAACCUACUGGUUUCCAUGGCCACACAUUUUCAGACUCAAGAGCAGUGGUUCUCAACCUGUGGGUCCCCAGAUGUUUUGGCCUUCAAUUUCCAGAAAUCAUAACAGCUGUUAAACUGAUUGGGAUUUCUGGGAGUUGUAGGUGAAAGAACCUGGGGACCCACAGGCUGAGAACCAUUGCUUAAGAGGAAACCGAAGGCAAAGCCCUAGAAAAUCGUAGCUCACCCUAGGGUAGCCAUAAAUUAAAUAAGAAAAAAAUUGAAGGCACUUAACAACAACAAAUACAUUUGGCAAGAACAGGAACAAAGUCUCUGAUCUUUUUCAGUAAAUUUGGGCUCACCCUAAAAUUCUGGAAUGUCAGGAUAUUUUAUAAUGGGAGAAUAAGCAAGUGGCUCUAAAAAUUGAUAAUUACUGACUGAACUAAUCGGCUAUACAUUCUGUACUUCUCUUAGGAAGGGUGAUUGUAUUAUGUAAACAUCUCAUUCUUUGAUGUUAACUGCUGUCAAGUUUACCCAAUGAAUGAAAGAUCUCUUAAGUCACCAGCAGGGCUGUAGUGGGGUGGGGGGAGAGUUAGGGGUUCAACCCCCCCCCCCCCCCGAAAAGUUUCAGGUUAAAAAAAACCUGGUUUACCCAUGAAUUUUAACUGGUUAACCAAAUCCCCAUGCUAAGUCUAUGAGAAGCAAAAAUUAAACGAUUCCUUCCAGAACAAGCAAAUUUUGACAAUUUAUUCACACUGUCAUUACUUGAAGCAAUAACCGAUAUAGUGGAAGCAACCAAGUUGGUCCACCCAUAAUAGGUAAGCAAAGCCUAAGGCAUGGGGCGGAUUUGAAGGCUCUCAUGAAGGAGACCAAACUUGGUGGAAGUGAUUGACAGGGGUGGAGCUGCAGGCUAUUUAAGGCUGCUCCACCCCCCUGUUGUAUUUAAAUUGGGUUAUUUCCUUAAAUUGGCUUAUGCUGUUUUAGUUGAUUAUGUAUUUUAUGUAUUGAUGUAUAUAUGUGUGUGUGUGUGUGUGUGUGUUUUUAAAUCUUUGUAGACCACUUUGAAUCCCACCCAUGGGAAAAAGCAAGAUAAAAAUGAAUAAAUAAUGAUCAUAUUUUGCUUCAGGCCCCAUAAUGAUCAUAUUUUGCUUCAGGCCCUUUGAGGAGAUGGGGCGGGGUAUAAAAAUAAAGUUAUUAUUAUUACUAUUAUUAUUAUUAUUAUUAUUAUUAUUAUUAUUAUUAUUAUUAUUAUUGUUAUUAUUAUUCAGCGUGAGGUAGGAGGCAGGUUCCUAAUGGGGGAUUAGACGCUUCCCUCCUUGCUCCCUCCCCUUCUCCAGAUAGUAGGGUUCCCAUUGCUAUGCCUUUGCCCCAGGGAGACACCUCACAAUUUGGGAAGUUUCUGCCCUUGACAUUUAUUGCUAGGGAUUUCCCAUCAGCAGAGCAUAAGGGCUGGGCUGGAGGUUUGGGUGGCUGCAGUAAGCAGUUCCCCUCCUGGGUUGCCUCAAGGAAGGCACAUACUGUAGCAGAGGAGGUUUGCCCUCUCUCCCACCCACCCCUUGAGAAUUAACUCUUAAUAAGUUGUUGCCUGAGUGAGUCACACUCUUUCCUUAAGCCUCAAGUCAUGAUUGCUAGGCCACAGAGGCAAUAAUUAAAAUAAUUAAAAUAAUUCUUAAUGAAUUGUUGUCUGGAGGGAGUCACAUUCUCUCAGCCCCAGGAAGGCACAGGCAAUUCUACUCAUUAACUGUGUCAUCACAUACUGAGGCUUACAUUCUAUUGCAUGCCUCAUGCUAGGAGUUAAGUUCUGGCCUCAUGUUAGACUUUAAGUUCUUGCAAUUAUUAUUUUUUGAGGGCUCGCUUGUUUCAGACCUCAGGCUUUAAAUGUUGCCAUUAUAUUGGGAGAAGUCCAACUUGUUUUAGGCCUCAUGUUUGUGGUCGAACCAGGCCAGCCAUCUGCAUUUAAUCUAAUCUGACCUGCAGCAGAGAGUUCCACAGAUCAGAAGGAACCAUGCUGGAACCAAUCUGGCCAUGAAAUGUGUACGUGUUCCAGCAGCAGCUUAGGAUAUGUCUCUCGCCUCCUCUCUACUUCCCCUCCUAUCCCUAACAAUGUAACAAACCCUUAAUAAAAAGUAUCUUUUCGUUCUAACUUUUCUUCUCUUGGUGAUUAUUAUGUAUCCCUUUCCUGACUACUGCAUGAAACACUCUCCUUUUUUAAACCACAAAAGCUCCUCUGCUUCCCCCCCCCCCCCCCCCCGCUCCAGCCGGCUGGAAAAGCUGGCCACCGGAGAGAGGUUCUUUCCCUUUAAAACACGGAUUAAACACCUGGCCUCCAUUUUUGGUCAUAUCUCCCUCAUUCCAACUCUGAGCAUGACUGUUUUUCUAACUAAUAACUUUCAAGACCUCCCCGCCAUGGGAAGACCUUUCGUUCUUAAAAUAAUAAAGUUUAAAGAAGCAAAUCAGCUGAUUGUCAAAGUGGAGCCUCUCGCACCGUGGCACGGAUUUCCCUACAGAAUCGGGUCAUCGGAGUUUCGGACUGCGUGCUGGACAUGGAGAGGGUCACCUCGGACUCUCUGUGUGCCCUCCGUGAACUGUCCUCACCAUCGAAGACCCCUCCCGCUGACCUUUGAUCAAACACGGCCAUUUCAUAGACAUUGCCACAGAUUCUCCCCCUCUCCCUGGACUUUUUAUUUCUUUUCAUGUAUUAAAUCUUGGAUUCUGGGGUGGGCAGGGACAAAAUGAGCUAUGGUCCUAUGUGUGUCCUAUGUAUCCUGCAUGACCCCCUUUCCCUUUUUUUCUAUGAAAUAUGUGCUAUAUUAUGAAAUAUUAAAGAAUGACCAAAAUCUGACCUGGAAAUAAAAUGGACAAAUAGUUACAACACCAGCAAGGGAAGAAGAGAUUUUCCUCACCCCAGGAGAUCACCAGAUACCAAUCUUGCAUGGACAAUAGAAUUGGUCUUUCCUCAUCAAAUCUCAGAGCUAGCCCAUUUGAUAGAGGAUGUGACUAUUUGGCAUUUGGUUCACUUACAAUGGGGACAAUCAAAAGCCCAAGAUCGUUCCAGCUGUCACAUUCCUUUUCAAAGAACUGGACUCAUUCAGAAGCAAAGCUUGCUCAACUGUUCAGCCUUUGACUCACGGGAAUCUGGCAAGCCUGUCAGACAAAUAUGUAUAUUUGCACCCCCAGAAGUAAUCUGAAAAUCGCCUUGAGGGUUUAUUGGGGCUCUCAGCAUUCCCCUUCUGCAUACUGACUCAAUUGCUCAUUCAUAAUCCUUUAGCCAUUCAUUGUUUGCGGCUCAGCCCGCUCCCUCGCCCCUGAUUGGCGGAGGAGCUGAAGCAGAGGGAGCCCUCUGAUUGGACGGGGUUUCGCGCCACUCUCCCAGGGACCAAUCAGCGUAGAGUGGGCGUAGGGAGGCGGGGGGGGGAUUAAACCUUUCUACCCCAUUCCUUCUCUAUAAAGGAUACUGUUUCCUAUUGUAUGUCAUGUCAUAUCCUGGUAGUGUCUUUUAGAGCUGUGCUUUUGUCUUAUGCCAAGCCUGAUCCAUUUGGGGGAUUGUAAUCCCAAAAAACUCUAUGAGAAAAAUGUAAGUUCAAAUACACUUUAUGAUGUUUCCAGGUAUAAAACAACUGUGAUAAUUUGUGCAUGCUUUAAAAGUUUAUACUUUAAUUUCUCCUAACUAUCAAGUAAUUCUGGAAUAAUUAGGUGCCAGAUUAAAUGUAUUUUAUGUAGGUUCUAAAAAAUUGAUAAUAUGUACAGGUCAUUGAUCUUGAUUUUUAGAUAUGCCAAUUUAAAGUAAAUGUGUGUGUGUGUGUGUGUGUGUGGGUUGUUUUCAACUCUUAAGUGUUUGAAAACAUACAUACGCACAAUGGGGCAAGAAAGACUGACUGGACUUGCACUCUUGAGUGUCCACUGAAGUUUAUCGAUGAAGUCUGAUUUCGCUCAAAGUGUAUUGACACAGUUUCCAAGGGUUUCUAACAGAUGUUGUGGUAUUCUUUUGUAAGUAUCAAUUACUAAUUAACAGUCAUUUUCAGUUAUUUUAAGACUGGAAACUUUGUAACUAAAAUAGAAAAAUGAUUUAAUUAAGUCUGUAUAAAAAUAUAGGAUGAACCACACUAUUUAAAUUAUUUUGUGUUAUGGAACUAGUCUUCAUGAUUUGCUAAAAAUAAGUUUAACCCCCCCCCCCCCCCCGCCCCAAAUAUUUUUUCUGGCUACAGACCUUGUCAUCAGCCCUACUCAGAUUGUGCAGAUUAGGGGUUGUGGUUUCCUUAAUUGAGUCUAUCCAUCUGGAAAGUGGUCUUCCUCUUUUUCUAUCAUCUACAAACUUACUGAGUAUUACUGUAUUUUCUAGUGAGUCAUGUCUUCUCAUGAUAUGUCCCAAGUAUAACAACUUCAGUUUAAUUAUCAUAGAUUCCAGGGGGAAUUUAGACUUGAUUUGUUCUAGGUAUGUUCGUAGCAAACACAUGUAAUCCUUAAUAUUGUUUCUAUAGGAAACAUGGUGGAAGAGUGUACCCCCUCCAAGGUUCACUGAAUGUCCAACGUGGCUCCCAAUUUCCAAAAGUUGUUCAUCCCACUUUGUAAGAACCUUGACUGGCUGAUUGACUGGCUAGCUCCCAAAACAGAAAUAUUCUUGUGAAAUUGUGACAAUUCACUGCAUCAUUUUAUUGCUGAUCCCACUUGUAUUCUCUAAAUGAUAUAAAUGGAAAAUAUGCAUUCUGGCGUGCUGUGUGUAUUUAAAUUGGGACUAUACAUGUGAGGUUUGGGUUACCUCUGUGCUUUUGUCAGCUGAUGUCAUCUGCAGCCACUCAAAAUGAAUGAAUAUAGCACUUUUAUACCACUUUAACUGUCAUGGUUCUGUCUCCAAGGCCUUGAACUGACUCCAACAAACCAUAUUGAGUUCUUUUGAAAAGGAAAGACUUUAAGAGUUUCAGCGUGAUGUUUGAUAUCUGAAAGACUGUGUGCACUAGUCAUAGCAAGAAUAUUCUAAAUGGCCAUGCUCUAGAAUUGUUUCUUAAUCCUGAGAAAUGCCUGGGACCUAUUGUGAUGAGAUUUUGUAUCAAUGAUGUACAAAGACUAUAGUGUUGUCAAAUUCAUCAUAUAGUAGAAGGAUAACUGCCAACACAAUCACAUCUGAUUUCAAGCGAAGAAAUUUCUUUAAAAUGAAAAGACUGAUUAAAAAAAGAAGCAGAAGAGAAAGUCAAGAGGGCCAAAUCUCUUCAAGAAACGUGGUGGUUAUUCAUAAUCAUAAUAAUAGAUGUUCAGUUGGAAUGUAUCCGGCAAAGAUAUCACUACAUGAAAGAGAAUAUUAUGAUUAAACUCCAACAUCAGAGGCAAGACAGCUUCCUUCAGGAAAUUAAAGCCUUGUCCAGAGGAGGAGCACAAGCAAAACAAAAAGGAACUCAAACUUUGUCCAAAAAGUGCAAGCAAACAAUAAGAUGCAAAAGAAGAGAUAAUUCAAGGAGCACAGAGGACUUCAUCAGAUGGUUUUCCUCCUCUGUUUUUACAUACUUCAAAGACAGUUCAAAUAAGGACUCCCACGGAGCCCAGCAAACUAUGCAGGACAGCUUUCUGUGGUUGCUCAUCUCUCCAGUGUGGGACUUUGUCUCCGCUGCAGGUAGAAAGGGGAGGAUUUCUAAACCAGGCACAAAUUGACUCCACUCCAUUGCAUGCAUAUAGAAAUGGCUAAAAAUGUGUAUCUGUUUGUGUAAUAGAAAGUGGUGGAUUUUUCCAUUACACUCCAUUUUAUGGAGUGCCCUUCCAUGAUUCUUCUGUACAUUAGUGUGGGUUCCAUUAAAAGAAGUGUUUUUAAAAGAGUCCUUGUCUCCUCUAAAGUAAGAAUCUUGAGAGGCAAAGGAUCCCAUAGAAGACCCAUUGCCAUCUUUCAUUGCGUGAUGAAAGCGAGAGUAUGUGAUUCAUACUGACUAUUAAAUAGGAGACACUGAACUAACUUAACACCUAUGCCUGGAGACAGCUAACUAUAAAUCUAUUAGUCAUUUUGUAGCAGUUUUUAACCCUCCUUCCUGACAACUAGGAGUACUUUUUGGGCUUUCAUAUUUUCCAGAACAUGGACUGGCUACAAUUUAUGACUCUGUUUUACUUCUUGCUGACCUUGUUUAUCCAUAAUACUAACGUGCUGAACAACGUUUGGACUGACUGACAGCCAUUCUAUUGCUUCUCCCUGCAUCUUGCUGGAUAUCCUGGGGCUGCAUUUGCAUUCCAACCACCUGGUUCCUGGGUCACUUGCUGACUGGAAUGUUGGACACCAUACAUUUUUAUUGCGAAACCCAAGCCUGGACUGAGCUUUUGAUGGAGAAAAUAUUUAUAAUAUUACCAUCUAGACUUUGUGGUAUCCAUUUAAAUAUAAAAUAUGUGAUCUAAUAGAAAUGUUUUCUAAAAGGGAUCUAGUGGAAAGUCAGUGCAUUCAGUGUCAGCUGAUGGCUCUCAUGUCAGUGGAUUGAUGAAUAUGCCCACAGUUUCAAUCCUAAUGUCAUGUCAUUUUAAGCCAUUUUUCUUUUUAAUUUGGGAUUUCAAAGGUGGUGGUGUAUUAUGCCUGUAAAUAAUAGCAAGGCCCAGGUGUUAUUUUUUCAUAUACCUAGCUGGCUAGUGGAACAAUUAGAUUGUAAUUGGGCAUUAAAUUGUCCAUAUUUGAAGCAUGAUUGGAUAAGGUCUGAAUUUCUUCUCAUUUUGGAAUGAUAUCUGCACAAAUGAGAGCAUGUACUUUAAGCAUAUUAAUCAUUUACAUCUUUAUUCCAUUAAGAUAGUUUGUACAUAUAACAAUGUUCCAUUUUGUUAGGCAUUUGUAUAUAUGUGGAUCGAUCUAAGGAACAGAGUUUUGGACAUUUUCAAUACAGGUCAACAUAUACACUAUUGAAAGUGGUCUCUUUGUAUUUUGAUCUCUUUCUAUUUUGAAACCUAAGCAGGGGUUGGUCUCAUUAGUACUUUGAUUGGAGACCAUUCAGGAAUACCUGCAAUUUCCAGUUAGAGUACGGAGAGGUUUCUGUCCGAAACCCUGAAUAGCUGCUAGUCAGAACUGACAGCAUACCUUCCAACAUUUCACAGAUAAAUACUGAGGAAGGUUUGGCCAAGCAAAUCAGAAUACAAGGUGGCAAAAGUUUUUAAUGAGAACACACAAACUGGAAGAGACUGUAGCAAUUUGCUUUUCUCCAAGUCUGCAAGGAAGAUGAGAAUCCACCUCUUCCUGUCUUCUCCCCACCUGCUCCCCAGCUAAUUGGGUGCAAAUCCCUUUUUUCAUUUCAAACACAAUUUGCAGCAAAUGAAGUAAACCAAAUAAAAUAGUAAAUGUAGAGAGACACUAGGACCCUCUAAAAUCAGUUUUGAAAUGGUAUUGGAGGAUUAGGGCUUCAUCCCAAUAGGACCAUAAAGCAGAGGGAAUUGUCUUCUUAUUGUAUUUUCAAAAAACAGAUAAUCAAUUUGCCGCCAUUACACAUGAUGUACUCUGUCCUGCCAACCUAGCAGUUCAAAAACAUGCAAAUGCGAGUAGAUCAAUAGGUACCGCUCCGGCAGGAAGGUAACAGCGCUCCAUGCAGUCAUGCCGGCAGCUUUCGGCUUAGAAAUGGAAAUGAGCACCAAUCACGCAGGCAAGUGUAUUCUCCAUCCAUACUACCUUCGUUCUUUUUCUAAAAUUAAAAAGGGGAAACCUUGGAACUGCGGAAGUCCGAAAUCUAAAUCUAAAAUAAGGGGAGAAAUAUAGCUACAGCGAACUCAUAAUAUAUCAAAAUUGCACAAUUUCUGAAGAUUUUUUUUAAUUAACAUAAAUGUUUCAUGCAAGAGGAUGAAUGGCAAGAAAAGGAGCAUCCAGGCACAUUUCAAGACCGCCCACAGGAAUGCCCCCUCACUGCAAUGAUCUAAAAAAAGGGAAUCUGACAGUUCCAUCUCACGUUAAAAUCAACACCUUUAGCAGUUUCUGCACCAUUUAGGAGCUCUGAAGAUUAUUGUUUCUCGACUCCAAAAACCUCAGUUCAUACACAGUUUAAACACAUUUUAAAGACAGUCCGAAAGGCAGCUGAUGGAAGUAGUUCUGCAUCGUAUGAUGGGUUCCUUGGGAAUCUGUCUUUAAAAUGCUUUUAAAAUGUGUAGAAAUGGGGGGAACCCUGCAUCUGAUGAAGUCCUUAAUCUGCAUAAUUCCUACCAGGUUGGCAAAGUUGGAGGGUAUGACAAUAUUGGACAAGCUGGACAAAUAUCCCAAUUUAAUGCAAGUUUGCUUCUUAUGGUCUUUGAGAAAAAUCAAUUCUCCUACCAACCCAAAACCUAUAGUUGGAAUUAACAUUGUCCCAAAUAAAUGCAUAUAUCCCAAAUCUUUGAACAGGCUGAUCUUGGAUACAUUAAGGAGGGAAAGUGGUAGGCUGCAAUAAUGGCUGAUGCAUGUGCAUAGAAGCAAAUGGAGAAGAGGGGAUGGUGUGCAAAAAUAAAUUAAUAUAAUGUGUUUCAAAAAUCCAGUAUGUUGCAAGAAUGAACUGUGAAAUCAAACACUUUCCUGAUGGUUCAAAGUAACUACUAUAAUUAGAGACGGCAGGAGAAGGCAUACAGCUCACUGUAGGCUAUAUGCUGAUGGCUUGCGAUAUCAGUCCUGACGUUUAACAGCCAAAGUAAAAUUGUGAAACACAUGCUUUCCCAUCAUUGUGAAGCCUGCCAAAGUAUAUAUUUGUUUUGAUGGUUGCGCUCCCACUGCAGUAGGUUUACUGUAUGUUUAUAAGUGUAAUUUCCAUUGCUCUCAGAAUAAAGUGUAUCUGAUGUUCAUAA